rnacentral:rRNA from 1 species
CGCUAUCACUCCUACGGGGAGGCAGCAGUAGGGAAUCUUCACAAUGGGCGCAAGCCUGAUGGAGCAACACCGCGUGAGUGAAGAAGGGUUUCGGCUCGUAAAGCUCUGUUGUUUAAAGAAGAACACGUAUGAGAGUAACUGUUCAUACGUUGACGGUAUUUAACCAGAAAGUCACGGCUAACUACGUGCCAGCAGCCGCGGUAAUACGUAGGUGGCAAGCGUUAUCCGGAUUUAUUGGGCGUAAAGAGAGUGCAGGCGGUUUUCUAAGUCUGAUGUGAAAGCCUUCGGCUUAACCGGAGAAGUGCAUCGGAAACUGGAUAACUUGAGUGCAGAAGAGGGUAGUGGAACUCCAUGUGUAGCGGUGGAAUGCGUAGAUAUAUGGAAGAACACCAGUGGCGAAGGCGGCUACCUGGUCUGCAACUGACGCUGAGACUCGAAAGCAUGGGUAGCGAACAGGAUUAGAUACCCUGGUAG